UACGUAGGUGGCAAGCGUUGUCCGGAAUUAUUGGGCGUAAAGCGCGCGCAGGCGGUCCUUUAAGUCUGAUGUGAAAGCCCUCGGCUCAACCGAGGAGGGUCAUUGGAAACUGGAGGACUUGAGUGCAGAAGAGGAAAGUGGAAUUCCAAGUGUAGCGGUGAAAUGCGUAGAGAUGUGGAGGAACACCAGUGGCGAAAGCGGCUUCCUGGUCCAGCACCGACGUCCAGGCACGAAAGCGUGGGGAGCAAACAGG
rnacentral:rRNA from 1 species